AACAUUAAGCUGUCUAAAACAACAAAUAUAAUAUUUGUGCAUUUAACCUACCUGUUUCUUCUGCUUCAGUUUUUGAAGUGCUGCCAUUGCAUCAGGUUCAGAUGACUUGUCAACUUUCAUCAUCUUUUCAAAAUCAUUUUUUGCUUCCUCAAAAUCUCCAUCUGUCAUGUAGGCCAUUCCACGUCGGUACAGAGCCUUUACAUGUGCAGGAUUUGCAUCCAAAACCUUAUUGCAAUACUCAAUGGACUUUUUGCAUUCUCCCAUUUUUAGGUAGGAUGCAGCCAAGUUCAAAUUUAACAAGUUUCUAGUAUCUACAAAAACCUUCCCUUCUUCAUCAUCUUGUGGAUUUACGUGAUUAAAUUCCCUAAGUACCUUCUCAUA
rnacentral:misc_RNA from 1 species